rnacentral:rRNA from 1 species
UAGGGAAUCUUCGCCAAUGGGGGGAACCCUGACCGAGCAACGCCGCGUGAGUGAAGAAGGUUUUCGGAUCGUAAAGCUCUGUUGUUAAGGAAGAACGAGUGUGAGAAUGGAAAGUUCAUGCUGUGACGGUACUUAACCAGAAAGGGACGGCUAACUACGUGCCAGCAGCCGCGGUAAUACGUAGGUCCCGAGCGUUGUCCGGAUUUAUUGGGCGUAAAGCGAGCGCAGGCGGUUAGAAAAGUCUGAAGUGAAAGGCAGUGGCUCAACCAUUGUAGGCUUUGGAAACUGUUUAACUUGAGUGCAGAAGGGGAGAGUGGAAUUCCAUGUGUAGCGGUGAAAUGCGUAGAUAUAUGGAGGAACACCGGUGGCGAAAGCGGCUCUCUGGUCUGUAACUGACGCUGAGGCUCGAAAGCGUGGGGAGCGAACAGG